GCUAGCUACAGGCUUAACACAUGCAAGUCGAGGGGAAACGAUAGGGAAAGCUUGCUUUUCCUAGGCGUCGACCGGCGCACGGGUGAGUAACGCGUAUCCAACCUGCCCAUGUCUGGGGAAUAACCCGUCGAAAGGCGGACUAACUCCCCAUGGUCUCCGAUGAGGACAUCUGAAUUGGAGUAAAGCUUCGCGGACAUGGAUGGGGAUGCGUCUGAUUAGGUAGUAGGCGGGGUAACGGCCCACCUAGCCUACGAUCAGUAGGGGUUCUGAGAGGAAGGUCCCCCACAUUGGAACUGAGACACGGUCCAAACUCCUACGGGAGGCAGCAGUGAGGAAUAUUGGUCAAUGGACGAGAGUCUGAACCAGCCAAGUAGCGUGCAGGAUGACGGCCCUAUGGGUUGUAAACUGCUUUUGCGCGGGGAUAACACCCUCCACGUGCUGGAGGUCUGCAGGUACCGCGCGAAUAAGGACCGGCUAAUUCCGUGCCAGCAGCCGCGGUAAUACGGAAGGUCCGGGCGUUAUCCGGAUUUAUUGGGUUUAAAGGGAGCGUAGGCCGUGAGGUAAGCGUGUUGUGAAAUGUAGGCGCCCAACGUCUGCACUGCAGCGCGAACUGCCCCACUUGAGUGCGCGCAACGCCGGCGGAACUCGUCGUGUAGCGGUGAAAUGCUUAGAUAUGACGAAGAACCCGAUUGCGAAGGCAGCUGGCGGGAGCGUAACUGACGCUGAAGCUCGAAAGCGCGGGUACCGAACAGGAUUAGAUACCCUGGUAGUCCGCGCGGU
rnacentral:rRNA from 1 species